AUUGAACGCUGGCGGCGUGCUUAACACAUGCAAGUCGAUCGGUAACAGGUGUAGCAAUACAUGCUGACGAGAGGCGGACGGGUGAGUAAUGCUUGGGAAUCUGCCUAUUAGUGGGGGACAACCCGGGGAAACUCGGGCUAAUACCGCAUACGCUCUACGGAGGAAAGCCGGGGACCGCAAGGCCUGGCGCUAAUAGAUGAGCCCAAGUCGGAUUAGCUAGUUGGUAGGGUAACGGCCUACCAAGGCGACAAUCCGUAGCUGGUCUGAGAGGACGACCAGCCACACCGGAACUGAGACACGGUCCGGACUCCUACGGGAGGCAGCAGUGGGGAAUAUUGGACAAUGGGGGCAACCCUGAUCCAGCGACGCCGCGUGGGUGAAGAAGGCC
rnacentral:rRNA from 1 species